rnacentral:rRNA from 1 species
UAACUGAAGAGUUUGAUCAUGGCUCAGAUUGAACGCUGGCGGCAGGCUUAACACAUGCAAGUCGAGCGGGGGAAGGUAGCUUGCUACUGGACCUAGCGGCGGACGGGUGAGUAAUGCUUAGGAAUCUGCCUAUUAGUGGGGGACAACAUCUCGAAAGGGAUGCUAAUACCGCAUACGUCCUACGGGAGAAAGCAGGGGAUCUUCGGACCUUGCGCUAAUAGAUGAGCCUAAGUCGGAUUAGCUAGUUGGUGGGGUAAAGGCCUACCAAGGCGACGAUCUGUAGCGGGUCUGAGAGGAUGAUCCGCCACACUGGGACUGAGACACGGCCCAGACUCCUACGGGAGGCAGCAGUGGGGAAUAUUGGACAAUGGGGGGAACCCUGAUCCAGCCAUGCCGCGUGUGUGAAGAAGGCCUUAUGGUUGUAAAGCACUUUAAGCGAGGAGGAGGCUACUUUAGUUAAUACCUAGAGAUAGUGGACGUUACUCGCAGAAUAAGCACCGGCUAACUCUGUGCCAGCAGCCGCGGUAAUACAGAGGGUGCGAGCGUUAAUCGGAUUUACUGGGCGUAAAGCGUGCGUAGGCGGCUUAUUAAGUCGGAUGUGAAAUCCCCGAGCUUAACUUGGGAAUUGCAUUCGAUACUGGUGAGCUAGAGUAUGGGAGAGGAUGGUAGAAUUCCAGGUGUAGCGGUGAAAUGCGUAGAGAUCUGGAGGAAUACCGAUGGCGAAGGCAGCCAUCUGGCCUAAUACUGACGCUGAGGUACGAAAGCAUGGGGAGCAAACAGGAUUAGAUACCCUGGUAGUCCAUGCCGUAAACGAUGUCUACUAGCCGUUGGGGCCUUUGAGGCUUUAGUGGCGCAGCUAACGCGAUAAGUAGACCGCCUGGGGAGUACGGUCGCAAGACUAAAACUCAAAUGAAUUGACGGGGGCCCGCACAAGCGGUGGAGCAUGUGGUUUAAUUCGAUGCAACGCGAAGAACCUUACCUGGCCUUGACAUACUAGAAACUUUCCAGAGAUGGAUUGGUGCCUUCGGGAAUCUAGAUACAGGUGCUGCAUGGCUGUCGUCAGCUCGUGUCGUGAGAUGUUGGGUUAAGUCCCGCAACGAGCGCAACCCUUUUCCUUACUUGCCAGCAUUUCGGAUGGGAACUUUAAGGAUACUGCCAGUGACAAACUGGAGGAAGGCGGGGACGACGUCAAGUCAUCAUGGCCCUUACGGCCAGGG